rnacentral:rRNA from 1 species
GACGAACGCUGGCGGCGUGCUUAACACAUGCAAGUCGAACGGAGUGGCGAACGGGUGAGUAACACGUGGGUGACCUGCCCUGCACUUCGGGAUAAUCCUGGGCAACUGGGUCUAAUACCGGAUAUGGUGGGAUGGGCCCGGGGCCUAUCAGCUUGUUUGUGGGGUAAUGGCCUACCAAGGCGGCGCCGGGUAGCCGGCCUGAGAGGGUGGACGGCCACAUGGGGACUGAGAGACGUGCCAGUCUGCUACGGGGGGCAGCAGGGGGGAAUAUUGCACAAUGGGCGGAAGCCUGAUGCAGCGACGUCGCGGGUGGGAUGACGGCCUUCGGGUUGUAAACGCCUUUCACCAUCGACGCGGUAGAUGGAGAAGAAGCACCGGCUAACUACGUGCCAGCAGCCGCGGUAAUAC